rnacentral:rRNA from 1 species
GACGAACGCUGGCGGCGUGCCUAAUACAUGCAAGUCGAACGCAUUUUCUUUCACCGUAGCUUGCUACACCGAAAGAAAAUGAGUGGCGAACGGGUGAGUAACACGUGGGUAACCUGCCCAUCAGCGGGGGAUAACACUUGGAAACAGGUGCUAAUACCGCAUAAUUCCAUUUACCGCAUGGUAGAUGGAUGAAAGGCGCUUUUGCGUCACUGAUGGAUGGACCCGCGGUGCAUUAGCUAGUUGGUGGGGUAACGGCCUACCAAGGCUGCGAUGCAUAGCCGACCUGAGAGGGUGAUCGGCCACACUGGGACUGAGACACGGCCCAGACUCCUACGGGAGGCAGCAGUAGGGAAUCUUCGGCAAUGGACGCAAGUCUGACCGAGCAACGCCGCGUGAGUGAAGAAGGUUUUCGGAUCGUAAAACUCUGUUGUUAGAGAAGAACAAGGAUGAGAGUGGAAAGUUCAUCCCUUGACGGUAUCUAACCAGAAAGCCACGGCUAACUACGUGCCAGCCGCCGCCGUAACAC